rnacentral:rRNA from 1 species
AAUACAUGCAAGUCGAACGCUUUGUGGUCCAACUGAUUUGAAGAGCUUGCUCAGAUAUGACGAUGGACAUUGCAAAGAGUGGCGAACGGGUGAGUAACACGUGGGAAACCUACCUCUUAGCAGGGGAUAACACUUGGAAACAAGUGCUAAUACCGUAUAACACUAAUAACCGCAUGGUUAUUAGUUAAAAGAUGGUCUUGCUAUCACUAAGAGAUGGUCCCGCGGUGUAUUAGCUAGUUGGUAAGGUAAUGGCUUACCAAGGCAAUGAUACAUAGCCGAGUUGAGAGACUGAUCGGCCACAAUGGGACUGAGACACGGCCCAUACUCCUACGGGAGGCAGCAGUAGGGAAUCUUCCACAAUGGACGAAAGUCUGAUGGAGCAACGCCGCGUGUGUGAUGAAGGGUUUCGGCUCGUAAAACACUGUUGUAAGAGAAGAAUGACAUUGAGAGUAACUGUUCAGUGUGUGACGGUAUCUUACCAGAAAGGAACGGCUAAAUACGUGCCAGCAGCCGCGGUAAUACGUAUGUUCCAAGCGUUAUCCGGAUUUAUUGGGCGUAAAGCGAGCGCAGACGGUUAUUUAAGUCCGAAGUGAAAGCCCACAGCUUAACUGUGGAAGUGCUUGGAAACGGAUAACUG